GUUGUAUAGUCAAGUAAUUAAGUGCAUGUGGUGGAUGCCUUGGCAGUCAGAGGCGAUGAAAGACGUGAUAGC
rnacentral:rRNA from 1 species